rnacentral:rRNA from 1 species
GUAGGGAAUCUUCGGCAAUGGACGGAAGUCUGACCGAGCAACGCCGCGUGAGUGAAGAAGGUUUUCGGAUCGUAAAGCUCUGUUGUUAGAGAAGAAUGAUGGUGGGAGUGGAAAAUCCACCAUGUGACGGUAACUAACCAGAAAGGGACGGCUAACUACGUGCCAGCAGCCGCGGUAAUACGUAGGUCCCGAGCGUUGUCCGGAUUUAUUGGGCGUAAAGCGAGCGCAGGCGGUUCUUUAAGUCUGAAGUUAAAGGCAGUGGCUCAACCAUUGUACGCUUUGGAAACUGGAGAACUUGAGUGCAGAAGGGGAGAGUGGAAUUCCAUGUGUAGCGGUGAAAUGCGUAGAUAUAUGGAGGAACACCGGUGGCGAAAGCGGCUCUCUGGUCUGUAACUGACGCUGAGGCUCGAAAGCGUGGGGAGCAAACAGGA